GGAGCUAUUUGGAAGGUAUGGAAGGCUCAGAAAAACUGGAUCUUCAAGCAAAAGACCCCAAACCAAGCUUGAUAAUUGAAGAAUCAUAUAUUCAACACAAUUACAAGCACAACAGGGGAGGAACAACACUAAUUGAGCAGACGAGAGAUCCUCGGCUGCAGCGCGAGUAGAGGGGAGGUUUUCAGCAACAACGGGAGGUGGCUCG
rnacentral:lncRNA from 1 species